AAAAGCCUCCAUUCAAUUCGAUGGCGGCUCCACGGAGAAUCAUCUCCUCGGCGGAUGCCUGACGGGACGUCGCCGCCCAACAUUUUUGGGCUUGAGCCACAUGCAUCCAAACACUCUACCCCCGUUAUCGUUUCAUUUCCUCGAGAGGUAGUUGACGCACGCCAACACAUUCCUAACCGACCCUGGCGAUCUUUUUUUUAACCUACUCUCGCGAUCUUGACCGUACUCGUUUCUUCUUCAUUUUCUUUAGGCAAUCAUCUACUGUCUUUUAUCGUACCUCUUCUCCUGACAUAUUCCACAUCUGCAUAGACUGCAUUUCUGCUACUACCAGAUUUAUAUUUUACUAUCUGACGAACACUAUGGUCUUGUUUAGAUGGGAUAAGUUUUGGGUAUAAAAUACUGUAGCAUUUUCAUUUGUAUUUGGUAGGAGAGCUUCGGCAGGAGAGUUCACCGGCGGUGCGUCGGGUGGCGUGGCCGGCCGACGCCGCCGUGCUCCAGGCGUGCUCCCGCCGGUCCACAGUUGUCCGCCUGUAUUGCCUCUGCUAUCUGCGGGUUCGCCGGUGCCGAUGUCGUGCUGAUUGCCUGCCUGCGCUCUCCUCGCCUCCGCUGUUUCCUCUCCGGCCGUUAGUUGCUUUCCUGGGGUCUCCGAGGCGGGUUCGUUCUGCUACCUGGACUGGUUCCGCGAGGCGGGCUCGUGCUGCUGCCUGUGCUGCUUCCACUACUUCCACUGCAGAUAUUAUAUUUUUCUAUUGGAGCCUUGGAGGACCCCGUAUCGUGGCAACAUCAUACAAUGCAAUCACAAGCUUGACCCUGAGACUGAAUGCAACGUUUGGCUCGAGCCCAGGAGGAUAUCAAAUGAGGUGAGGGAGUAGGAAUCCAGAACAACACCCAUCUGCUCGCCUGCGUUGGUUAUAGGACUUGCAGCCGGCACCACCUAUAGAACAGAAGUUCAGACAUCACGACGCUACAUAAGUCCAAGGUGUAACUACUAUCAUGUUGCUAAGUUUCAAAGCAUUGAAUCAAGUUGAUGCAUCAAACCUUGUCUGGCUGCUGGAAGGAGUUCUCAUCACGCAGCCAACCAGACGUAAGAACCGUCUUGAUGGAUCCAAAUUUCUGAAUAUCAGUUUCCAGUCCAGUUACAGAUAUAUUGAGGUUAACAGCUUUGCUCCCAAAAUUUACAACCUGCAAAAGAUUUUCUUUUGCCAAGUUAAUUUUCAUUUUCGUUCACAAAGAUAAGUUCCCCAAAGAGAGAAAGAAACCACCUUUAUUUUCAGGUAUGUAUUCCCAUCUUGUGAAUUAUUCCAAGUGAUAGCAGAUGUGACCAGUUGAUCAUAGUUUGAAAGUUGAAUAGUGGAUGGAUGAAGUGCUGCGCCGCUUGAAUCUUUGAAGAAGUGUAGCAUCCAGUAAUUUGGACAUCCAUAGUGCUGCCAUGAGUUAAAGACUAUGGCAUCUGGGUUCCACCUAUUGCAGAGCGGAACCUUUUAUUCAAUAUCGAUGAAUAAUCAAGUAGAAACACAUUUACCAUGCAAAAGUAAUUAUCCACAAUUACCUUCUAUCAUUGUCAUUUACAAAGAGUGGAGCACAACUUGCCAUCUCAACCACAUCACUGCAAAGAACCCGUUCCAAAGCAGAUGAGUCCAUAACGUACUCUAAAUCACCCAUGAGCCAAACCAGAAAUAGCAUUUAACAAAACCUGUUUCUUUCUAAUCCAAUGAGAAAUGCAGCUUCAGCUAAAGCAGCUAUCAGUGUUCCUCGACCAGCAUCAUUUCCAGUCACAGCAUAUUCACUAACGAUUGCCUACGAAUUACACAGGGCAUUACAAGCCAGUUGUAAGGAUGACAGUCGAGGUAUCAUUUGCAAAGCAAGUACCUUGGGUCCAUUGCGGGCUGUGUUAUCAAACAUUCUUGAUCUGGAAAACAUAUCACCUGAUGAGGUAUAGACCUGCAGCAUAGAAGAUGUCUCACUACUGGGAAAAAUAUUGUCAAAUCAAGGCCAAGCAAAGAAGUCAUUACGUGAACAUCAUACAAAUCAGCUGGGUUGACUGGUGAAAUAGCAGAUCUAUCACAGCUUGAUAUGAUUGUGAUGUCUGGGUAGGAUGCUUUUAUUGCAGAAUAGAACUUCAUGUAGUUAACUACAAAUUGGGAGAAGUAUUAGUUUUAUUGCAUAACAAUAAAAUGAAACUGAACGAAUUCUAUCAUUCUAUGUUGGUUCUAAAAACAAUGUUACUAUGAAGCAAGACAGGAAGAAAAUGGAAUUGUGUGAAAACCUUUAUAAUAGUAUUUAGAACAUUCUUGAUUCCCUAUUGAAACAUAAUAAAGCUGAAAGGGUUCUGGAUGUCCCAUUGCUGCACGAACUGAACCCCAUGCAGUCUGGGGGUCUCCCCUGGCAAAUUCAAUUCCAUUAACAACAUCCUGCAAUAUGGCAAGCAUGGAGAAAUUUGAACACAAUGUGGAUUAACUAUUUGGUGAUAUUAGAAAAUAUUAUUAGAAUGGAGCCAUAAAUUCUAGGAAACUUCAUCGUUAGGUAUGUUCGACAUUUCUGGUUAGCAUAACCAGGAAAUCAUAGAAAUCCUAAUCAAGAACUUAUGUUCUAUAUAGACAUUAAAGCCUCAUGUCAUUGCCAACAAUUGACUAUUUUUUCUCAUUUCCAGCAUACUUAGACAGGAAAAACAACCAUUGCCUGAGCAGUGCUUGUGUUGUAAAUUGUAAAUACAUUAUGCUAUUCCGGAGUUGUUAAUAUAAAUGAAAACAAAAAUUAAGUGGGUGCGAGUUUAACCACUCGUCCAUCAGUCCUAGACUAAAGUAUCAUUUCCAUUUUAUGUAUUCAAGAACAAACCUUUACAAAGGCAGCGAUUGUUGCAGUUGGGACUUCUUCAUUGAGGCUGGCCCCUGUCACAUUGAAAGCAAUUCGAACAAACCAGUCAAAGGGCACAUCUUUUCAGCAUAUCAUUUUUUAGAACCCAAGGCAUAUCUUUUCAACAUCCACCAUCCAAUUCUUGCACAUGUAGAAGUGCGGCAAAGAGUAUGCCUCUCAUACUGCAACGAUGAUUACUUGUAUGUUGCUCUGAGCCAGCAAGGUAUAAUAUUUUACAUUACACGGAAUACACAACUGUCCAUGGCAGAAAAGUCAAGCGUAUGUGCAAGGUAUAUGCAUCUAAUUCUCAACCUGACCACUAGUCAUGCACUCGUAGAAUCAGCAUGUAUUUUGCACAGUAUUUCACAAUAUUUAACAGAUUUUUCUGGUCUUGGUCAAAUAAAUCCAGGCUCUUUCCUCACAUGCUGGGUUGUACUGAGGCAUACUACCGUCACCUCUACAUAUGAAGAAUCUCAGAAGGAAGAUAAAAUGCUAAUUGACAAACCUGGAAAUUUUAGAAAUCGAGGCUUCAGAUUUGCAAGCAUAGAGGCAAGAUCUUUACGAAAGCCAUGCCCCUGAGAAAUGAAAUUGAUAAAUAAGGGUCACUGUUAAAUCAAGAAACAGAAACUCCUUGACACCUUAGUUGAUUAUACGAAUCAUAUAUUUUUCCUUUCUUCUGUUUAGACCAUUUGCUGUUGUAAAUUAGGAUUAAGUCCAAUCAUACGAUAGUCUUGCUUACAGAAACUUAUAAUUUAGCAUCACAACACAAUGCAAUCUUGAUUGUGAUGGCUGCAACUUGUAUUGAGAAACAUUAGAGUGCAAACUAUUAUAACUGUAUGGUUGCACCAUGGCUAUGCAUGGACAUAGUUCGAUAAAGAUCACUUAACA